rnacentral:lncRNA from 1 species
AGUUAAUUGUGAACUUAGAUUCUAGGACCACUGGAUUCCAUCCCCAGCACCUCAUAAGAUAGGCAUGGUGGCACACAACUGCAAUCCAAGAACGGGAGAGGUAGACUCAGGAAGGGCAGAAGUUCAAGGUCAUCCUCAGCUGCACAGUGAGUUCAAGACCAGCUCCUGUAGGUCAGGUCAACUGUUUCUGCGGGUGUCUGAAGCACCGUCUUGGCUCCAUUGCUCAUCCCUCCUCCCUCUCCACAACUGGAUUCCAGAAGUAUGGUUCAGUGCUUAGCUGUGGGUGCCUGUUUCUACUUUGACCAGCUACUAAAUGAAGGCUCUAGGAGUGGUAAUCAAGAUCCAGCGCACACAUCUGCAGCUACUGUGAGCUCAUGAUUGCAAUGGCUACAUGUGCAAUGUGGAUUAUCACUCCUACUUCCUUUCACCAUGACCAAUGGCUCCCAUCAGUCACAUGAACGAGCUUAAUCAGGG